rnacentral:lncRNA from 1 species
AUUGGCCUUCUUGGCCACCUGGGCACACUGCUGGCUCAUCUUCAGCCACCUGUCCGUCAGCACACCAAGGUCCCUUUCAGGGCUCAGGCAGCUUUCCAGCCACUCCUCCCCAAGGAGGACUGGGGGGACGCCUGGGCUUGUUGUGACCAAAAUGCAGGACCCGACACUCGGCCCCAUUGAAACUCAUCCAGUUAAGCUGGCAGAGUGAAGAGAGAACAAAAACCAAGCAGGCAAAGAGCAGAGCUGUCCACAGGGGGCAGGGCUUGGGGCAGGGCCUGUGCCGGAGGGUGGUCCAGCACAGUGGUGGCCUCGGGGCCCAGGCUGGAGGGGGCCUGGCACAGUUGAGGCCUGGUGUGGGCCCAGAAGGAAGGGGGCCCAGGCACAGGUAGAGCCUCGGGGCCCAGGCUGGAGGAGAACCAGGCUCAGUUGGGGCUGUGUUGGGGCCCAGGCUGGAGGAGGACCAGGUGCAGUUGGGGCUGCACUGGGGGGGCCUGAGCUGGAGAAGGGCCUAGCACAGUUGAGGCCUCCUCUGGGCCCCGACCAAAAAGGGCCCAGGCACAGCCAGGGUCUUGAGGCCCGGGAUGAAGCAGGACCAAGCACAGUUGGGGCUGCUUUGGGGCCCGAGCUGGAAAGGUGCCUGGCACAGUUGGGGCUGCUUUGGGGCCUGGGCUGGAGGGGGGCCUGGCACAGUUGAGGCUUGCUCUUGGCCCAGACCAAAGGGAGCCCCGGCACAGCCAGGCUGUUGCUGCCCAGGAUGAAGCAGGACCAGGCACAGUUGGGGCUGCUUUGGGGCCCAGGAUGGAGGAGGACCGGGCGCAGUUCGGGCUGCACUGGGGCCCGAGCUGGAGACGGGCCUAGCACAGUUGAGGCCUCCUCUGGGCCCAGACCAAAAAGGGCCCAGUUACAGCUAGGGCCUUGCGACCCAGGAUCGAGAAGGACCAGACCCAGUAUGGGCUGCUUUCGGGCCCAGGAUGGAGGAGGACCAGGCACAGUUAGGGCUGCUUUGGGGCCUAGGAUGGAGGAGGACCAGGCACAGUUGGGGCUGCUUUGGGGCCCGGGCUGGUGGGAGGCCCGGCACAGCCAGAGCCUUGUGGCUGCACUCUCUCUGUACAGUUCAACCUUGAUCCAUAACCUAAAAUGGUAACUGUAGUGAAAGGCAGUAGCUGAUCCAGCUGCUUUCCUGUGUUUUAAUUUUCCUAUGAGUGGGGAAGGACUCAAGCUAGUAAACAAAGAGCCCUUUCUGAAGAACAGGACUCAGAAAGUAUUAGCACAGAGCAGAUGUCCCAGUAGAGAUUCUUCCCCUUAGACAGGCAGCCCUUAAACGAGGGUGGGGAGGGCUGGAGCCAGGCUCCACCCCUUUUUUGCCCAGGUGAAAUGCUUGCAGCUGUGCUCCACAGCAGAUCGUGUUUUAAUGAAGCCUGUGGAAGCCUGUGAAAUCCAAGAAUCCUUUCUUCCUUCUUUCUCGUUUGUGUUUGUUGCCUGCAGUUCCAAGCAGGUGGGCUCUCAGUGUCUUGCAAGUGCCACUUAGCAGCAGCAAGUCCAGCCAGGAGGCACAGCACCCUGCAACCUCCAGGUGAGUGACAGCAGGCAGGCAGGCAGGCCUUGGGGAUCUGCAGGGUCAUUGUGUGGAGCAUUAUGCCCAGGACCAGCUGAGUGUAAAGAUGAUGUCCGAGCUGCAGAGCUAAGCAUAACGGAGAGGCCCAGCGGCUCAGCUCGUUUCCCAGCGUAAGGCAGGAAAUUAGAGCCAUGAGGGAUAUGCAGACGCUUUCUGCUUUUGACUGUUGCCUCCCUCCUUCUGCCCCUGUCAGAGGGGAGGAACGAGCUGCACUUGCACAGAGACAUUGCUCUCACGGCCACUCCCCCCUCAGGUUGGAGCAUUCCUGGCUGCAGGAUGGGCAAACCUAAGUUCUUGCCUAAUUGUGUCAGUAAAGCUUAGAAAGGGACACAAACUAUGGC